rnacentral:rRNA from 1 species
GCGAACGCUGGCGGCAGGCCUAACACAUGCAAGUCGAACGGAUCCUUCGGGAUUAGUGGCGGACGGGUGAGUAACACGUGGGAACGUGCCCUUUGGUUCGGAACAACUCAGGGAAACUUGAGCUAAUACCGGAUGUGCCCUUCGGGGGAAAGAUUUAUCGCCAUUGGAGCGGCCCACAUCUGAUUAGCUAGUUGGUGAGGUAACGGCCCACCAAGGCGACGAUCAGUAGCUGGUCUGAGAGGAUGAUCAGCCACACUGGGACUGAGACACGGCCCAGACUCCUACGGGAGGCAGCAGUGGGGAAUCUUGCGCAAUGGGCGAAAGCCUGACGCAGCCAUGCCGCGUGAAUGAUGAGGGUCUUAGGAUUGUAAAAUUCUUUCAGCGGGGACGAUAAUGACGGUACCCGCAGAAGAAGCGCCGGCUAACUUCGUG